CACCAAAAAUGAUGAUUUUUUUUUUUACAGUUAUCCCUGACUGAAAGGUAACAAACCAUGUUGUGAACGAGUAAAUCUGAUUUCGUA